rnacentral:rRNA from 1 species
UACAGAGGCCUCGAGCGUUAGGCGGAAUCACUGGGCUUAAAGCGUGUGUAGGCGGGCGAUCAAGUACCUUGUGAAAUCCCACGGCUCAACCGUGGAACUGCUGGGUAUACUGGGUGUCUUGGGUCAGCUAGGGGUUGCCGGAACAAAUGGUGGAGCGGUGAAAUGCGUAGAUAUCGGGAGGAACACCUGUGGCGAAAGCGGCGCACUGGACCGACAACUGACGCUGAGGCGCGAAAGCUAGGGGAGCAAACAGG